CUUCUUGUGGCUUAUUCCACAAACAAGAGGCAGAAUGGCAUAUACAGAACCCUGCAAAGGCCCAGCCUCAUCACAAGAGAGGAACAGACCAUAGAGGGGUGGGGCAGAAAGAGGAAUGAUUUUUUUUUAACUGCGCCUUUUAAACUGAGAAGCAGCUAAGCUCCAUAUAUACAGAAGAGCCCCAUGGAAGUCUGGGUGUAUAUAGGGGUAGUUUUCCAGGAGGUCACAGGUCAUAUGUUUUGGACAAGUGAUAUCAACUGACUGGCUUCCUG
rnacentral:lncRNA from 1 species